GCCAAGGCUGACGCCAUUGGGCUGAAAUAUGCCAUGCCUUCGGCAUU
rnacentral:sRNA from 1 species